AUAACCCUCCCAACUCAUUUAUCUUGGUCGGCCAAAGAGAGAAAAAGAGAAAAAAGGAAGAACAAAAACCCUAGAGAGAAAAAUUCAAAGGGAAAUUGUUGAUUUUCAAGGAAUCAAGUCAUUAAAGGUAAAAUUUCUUAAUUCUAGCUUGUGAUCUACCUUUCCUAUGCAUUAUUUUGCAUUUUUCAUGGUUGAAUCACAAGAUAUCAUGAAGGAUAGUGUGCUGAUCAAACCUUAGGAGAGAGAAUUUGAUGAUGAAUUUAGUUAGAAAACAUGUUAUUCUAGUGUUUUUAGUUGUUUGGUGAUGUGUAGUAUGAAAAGCAAGCAAGAAAAAUUCAUGUUCUUACAUCACCUUCAUUGGCCGAAUAUUCCAUGUGGAAUAUUGAUGAUGAAUUUGAUUGAAUUUCAAGUGAUUUGAUUAGGAAUGAAUGAUUUAUGGUGUGAGAAUCAAGCAUGAAAAAUUAUAUUGUUAGUGCACUCACCAUGGCUAAAUUUUUCAAGAGAAAAUGUGAGGAUGAUUUUGCCACAUUUCAAGUUAUUUAAAUUGUGUUUAAUGAUUUGGAGUAUUGGGAGAGAAAUGGAAUUGUUUGGAGUUGAAUUGGACGUAUUGGCCAAUUAUUCGAGUGAUAGAUCAAAUUAAGCCAAUACAAUUUUAUUUAGGUACAUAAUUGAAUUUAUAUUGAACAUCGUAUUUAGAUAGUUACCCCGAGUAUUUCACAUCCCAUUUCAUGCAUUAGUAUAGAGCCUGAAUUGGUUUUACAAUGGUUUAGCACAAAUGUAGCAAAUUGCUUAUUGUGCAUUAUGUCUAGGUGGUGAGCAUUCUGACAAGAGUAAAGAGGUAGUAUCCGAGGAUCAAGAAUUAGAGUAUCCCGAAUUCGAUUCCCAUUACAGUGAGUAACCUUAUUAUCGUCUUAAUUAUCUAAAGUAUGUUUUUAUCCAAUUUUGUAAUUUUAUGAAAAAUGUGUUUAAAUGAAAUGAUUUUAUAAAUUGUUUUGAAAUUUAAUGAUAACUUGAAAAUGGAGUAAUUAGAAACUACUUGCUAUAUUGUAAAUUAUGUUUUGAAUUGAAUGACUUAUGAUAAUGUGGGCAUGAAUGGUUGGAUGGGUAUUUGUGUUGAAAAUGUAUAAACUGUUGUUUGCCUUGAUAGGUUGGAUAAUGAUAAAAUUGUCAUGUCAUGCUGUUGAAUUUUUAUUGAAUUGGUGGGUUAUAAAUUGGUCAUUGGAGUGGCGGGUUCUGUGGACCAGCCUUUUUGAGGGGCACGAAAUCCGGGUAUAUUCUUACCUCGGUUAAGAAGGC
rnacentral:lncRNA from 1 species